rnacentral:rRNA from 1 species
GACGAACGCUGGCGGCGUGCUUAACACAUGCAAGUCGAGCGGUAAGGCCCUUUCGGGGGUACGACGAGCGGCGAACGGGUGAGUAACACGUGGGUGACCUGCCCUCAGCUCUGGGAUAAGCCUGGGAAACCGGGGUCUAAUACCGGAUAUGACUCCAUGACGCAUGUUGUGGGGUGGAAAGCCUUGUGCGGCUGAGGAUGGGCCCGCGGCCUAUCAGCUUGUUGGUGGGGUGAUGGCCUACCAAGGCGACGACGGGUAGCCGGCCUGAGAGGGCGACCGGCCACACUGGGACUGAGACACGGCCCAGACUCCUACGGGAGGCAGCAGUGGGGAAUCUUGCGCAAUGGGCGAAAGCCUGACGCAGCGACGCCGCGUGAGGGAUGACGGCCUGGUGUAA